UACGUAGGGCGCAAGCGUUGUCCGGAAUUAUUGGGCGUAAAGAGCUCGUAGGCGGUUUGUCGCGUCUGCUGUGAAAACUCGAGGCUCAACCUCGGACUUGCAGUGGGUACGGGCAGACUAGAGUGUGGUAGGGGAGACUGGAAUUCCUGGUGUAGCGGUGAAAUGCGCAGAUAUCAGGAGGAACACCGAUGGCGAAGGCAGGUCUCUGGGCCACUACUGACGCUGAGAAGCGAAAGCAUGGGGAGCGAACAGG
rnacentral:rRNA from 1 species